GAUGUAUGGAUAAGCUGGCUGUGACAUCUCACUUCAGUGAUCACCAGGAUAGAUUUGGCUGCUCUGGCUAUCUAGGCAGGUGUCCCCUUCCACCCACAAUGCUC
rnacentral:snRNA from 1 species